rnacentral:rRNA from 1 species
UACGAAGGGGGCUAGCGUUGCUCGGAAUCACUGGGCGUAAAGCGCACGUAGGCGGACUCUUAAGUCGGUGGUGAAAUCCUGGAGCUCAACUCCAGAACUGCCUUCGAUACUGAGAGUCUCGAGUCCGAGAGAGGUGAGCGGAACUGCGAGUGUAGAGGUGAAAUUCGUAGAUAUUCGCAAGAACACCAGUGGCGAAGGCGGCUCACUGGCUCGGUACUGACGCUGAGGUGCGAAAGCGUGGGGAGCAAACAGG